rnacentral:tmRNA from 1 species
GGGGGCGAAAAUGGCUUCGACGGGGGUUUGGAGACUAUAGUAGCAAGCCGUUGUGAAGAUCAACGUAAAAAGUUUCACAAAAAAUAAAAGACAAUAAUAAUUUUGCUUUAGCUGCCUAAGCAGCUUCAUCUUACCGGAAAGCCCCACGGUUUCGGAUAAGGUGUCAAAUUAGUGGGAAACGAAGCUCAGCAAGGUGUCAUAGCUGAGGGGGUAUUCAUGACAAUAUACCAUCGGUAUUUUGUUCAUUUCGAAUCGAUGAUGAAAAAUUAAAAUGAACUGAGCUUGGAGAAACUAUCUUUGAAGGGCUUUCGGACGCGAGUUCGACUCUCGCCGCCUCCACCA